CGCGCUGUUGCCAUGGCGCCUGGACACCUGUGGGCUGCGUUCCGAGCUACGCGGUUUCCCGCGCGGUUUUCUCACUUCCCGGAACGGCUUCCGCCGCCCCCGCUUCUCGCUCUCUGAAGGAGAGCCCACGGCGGGACAACCCACGGCCCACGUCGUAGUAAAAGUAAUGCAGGACUGGAGACGAAAAAUGUGACUUUUGUUUUCCUGUAGCCUGAGCUAGAUCUUUCUUGGUUCUGCUGCUACUGGUUGAGCGUUGAUCAUGGAACUACUAAGUGGAGUUAAAACAGUCGCAAUCUGUAAAGUGCUUGCUGGCAAAGAGAGACCUUGUAUCAAAAAACAAAGUGGAGGCCUUCAGAGGAACCACAUCUAACGUUUACACACACACACACACACACACACACACACACACACACACACACACACACACACACACACAGACACACACACAGACACACACACACACAGACACACACACACACACAGACACAGACAGACACAGACAGACAGAGACAGAGACACACACACAACACACACACACACACACUCACUCACUCACUCACUCACUCACUCACUCACUCACUCACUCACUCACUCACUCACACGGACCUAGCUACUGCUUAAGUCUUCACCCAGGUGCUCUCUCUGUUCUCAGUCACUAGGCCUUCUGUUUCUCUUUUGCUAGGCUCUGUUUCUCCCUGUCUCAUGGUGAUUUCUCUGGCCUCGUUCUCUGAGACCAGUGAACCUGCCCCAGAGUUGCUACCAAUAAACCUGCUUUUAUAUUUUUAAUUUAGCUUGAUCUGACUUACUAAGUUUGCAGAGAAAUUUACUACCUGGGGCAGAAAUGUUUUACUAAUGUGCAGGGAGAGCUAGGACAGCACCUGAGAAGUUGGCAUGGUACUGCUAGCCAAGCCUUAGCCACUCUCACCUAACAAUUGUGAGACGUAAUGAAAUUGCCAAAAGGACUAAUUUCAAAGAAAUCACUUCAGUUGACUGCUGAAGGCAUUUCCUUUCCGUGCAUUCCAGACUGGAAUCACAGAGCUGGAAAUGCAGCCUCGCCCAGGAAAAAUGACUAAUUAUACAACUGUACAAAGUGCACAAUCUAAUCUCUGUGAAAGUACGCAUGGCCUCUCACCACCCCUGGAGCCUCGGAGCCUUGGAUGGCUUCUUAACCUCUGAAGAGGUCUUCCAACUGUUAGGGAAGCUAACAGGACAGAGGUCGUUAAAAGCUUUAUCUCUGGAGGUAGAAGGCCAAGUAAAAAUCAUGAUUCUUGAACCCCAAAUCUAUUGAGCUCUAGGACAAAGCACUUGGUCAACCCCAAGCCUUAACCUGCCAGUGUGUAAAGAAUCCCAGUAUUGGACUGAGGACGAGGUAGUGAAAAUGAGCUGUUAACCACUGUGGGUGGAGUGAAUAAUAAAUCCUUGGAAACCGAGCUAUCGAUGACAAAGAACUUUAUAUAAACUGUCUAAAAACAGCCUUGAUGGGAAGCUUGCGAUGGUUGGUUUGCCCUGCAGUCUUGAAAAAAAUUUUUUUCAAACCAUUAUUAGUAUUCAAAGUCAAGGGGAUGGCUCAGUGGGUAAAGACACUUGCCACCAAGCCUGAAAUGAGAGAUACAGUCGUUUCUUUUCCUACAGUUUUAAAAGCUGUAAACCCACUUUCCCUAAUGCUCCCAGUUCCUGAAAAGUCUGUUUGUUACUUGUUUGUCCAAGACACUUGUUGGACCAGGUGUAAUCUGCUCCCUGAACUGCUUAAACCUGUACCAUAGUCUAUAUUCUCCCUCAAUUCUCUGCCCCUUCUCGGGCCGCUUUCUAGCUUAGCCAAUUGGGAAUAGAUUGUGGGGUUAAACCUCGGCCACUGAGGAACAGCCUUCAGUUGAGGAUGAGACAGAGGAAAUUUUGGUCAUGUGUGAUCUACUGCUCAAGCAUGGCACACCAUUGUAACAAAAAAAAAAGCAUUGCCUUGCUGGGUAACUUUUGUCUGGUGGUGUGGUUAACUCAUUUUUUCUCUAUGAAUGCAAGCUUUAUUAUUAACGUACCUUCAAUAGACAUAAAUCACAACAACCCCCUGCCGCAACAAGGAAGUUGAAAAACACUAACAAAAAGAGCCUACUCUAGGGAGUCAGAAAUCCUGUGACAUUGCCAUCUCUGCUUUGGAACCCAGAAGAGAGUGUAAGACUCCUCAAGGCUUCUGAAUCAUCGGAGACUCCGGGGUCAUUUUGAGAGGACUCCUUGGGAUUCCGCCUCUUGGUGUUGAGUGGUAACUGUCCAUUUGCCAAUUCUUGUGGGCCUUAGACCACUGCUUAAGCUUCAUCUCGUGCCUUUUCUUGGAGAAGCAAACCCUAACGCAUCCUUUUGUCAGCUUGAGUUUGUCAGCAAAGGCCUCCAGUUUCCUCCUUUCUCAAAGUGCUGUUUUAGCUCCAUAACUACUCAGAGGUGAUCCCAGGGUUUCUAUCCCAGCGGGGCAGACUCGGAGUUGCCUCCCUCCAUCUCUAUCUUGGCCUCAGCUCAGUUGAGAUCCGUUCUUCAGUUUUCCAUGUGUUUCUUUUGGGACACCAAAAUACCAUCUUUCAAACAGAAAAACUGACUCCCAAAAGUUGUCCUCCAGUCUACAUGUGCCCCCCACACACACGCAAAUAAAUGUAAUCAAAGUCAGGGCAUCUCACUAAAGACUGGCACAUCCAGCCAAUCUGAAAAGCAGGACAUCUGGCCACCACCGGCCAGCAUUUUACCAUGGCAGAGUCUGUUUGGAGUGAGGAGAGUCUCACCUCUGUUGUCAUGGCGAUGACAGAAAGGCCGGGGAGUAAAGAUAGAACCUAGAACUGGGAACAGCAUUGACCCCAGGGUCCAAGGCCUAAGGAAGGAGGAGGAAAGAAAUGGUGACUCUGAAGAGAGCAAUGUGCAGGGCAGCCCAAACCAGGUGACUUAGACUGUGCUUGGGAGUGUCAGAGUUGUCUGGGGGAGCUCCAGAAAGAUGGUCCAUAGGCUUGCAGUUUAGAUGACAGGAGUUUCCGUAUGGUGGUCAGGAAUCUGGAACAGAACCCAAAAGGAGUGAAGCGGAGAAGUGGGGGCAUUCUCUUAGGAAGUGUGGUGUAGAAAGGGAAGCCUUGAAAACUCAGAAGCCAGCUCGAAUGAAAGGCACUGGUGCCGCAGUGUCUCCUAUUUUCUCUGCCAUGGUGUUUUCUAUUUUCUCAGUAAAGGCGUCUCACUCUGCCUAGUGAUGCAGAGGAAAUGCCGGGGAGGGCGAGAGGACGGAGCCAGAUCUAGAGCACACAUCAGGGUGAGUGCAGAAGGGGAGCAUUGACUCCAGGACUGCAGAAGUGAUAGUUAGCUGGGCCCAGAGGCAAUGCUAAUCCGGAUCCAUCUUAAAGUGGCCUUUGGUGGAUCUGUGCGACCGACUCCCUGCAAAGCACCAAUAGGGCGCUACUUUAAAGCCAUGCUCUGUGGUUAUGAGAGAAACCAGAGGAUAGUGGAUAUCUCUGUUCAACCCAGGACACGGGAAAGUUCUGGCAAUUGAGAAUGAAGAGGCUAAGUCGGUCAUAGGACUCAGUGAGGUGAACUGGUUCAGUGGGUCUGAGAACGCAGUGUUGAAAUCCAGUCCCCUUGGUGGCAGCAGUCCUUCCCCUAGCACAGGCACCUUCUGUGGCAUGGCCUUUUGAGUGUUGCAGACUUCCAGCUGCCAGGAUUUCUCACCGGAGGACAUGAGUUUACAUCAAAGAGAACAUUGGUCAGAAAGGAAAGCUGCAGACUUGUGUUGUGAAACCACUUUUUCUCAGAAAAGUAUUACUGCCACUUCUGCUACGUGGGCUCUUGACUCCUCUCCUCAUCUGUCUGUCCGUGGCAUUAAUAACUCUUCUAAUAAACGCCAUACUCUCAACAGUUCAUCUCGGUGGUAUCCCUCUUCAGCCCACAUCCAAGGCCUUUCUAGAGGAGCAAAUAUGAGAGAUGACUAGGGUCCACCAGGGAGAACGGGUUCCCCACAGGACACAUUUUACCGCAGUAGUGAAGACAUGAAAUCUCGUUCUGGCUCUGUUUACCACUUUGAUAUGCCAAGCACUGACUGGCCGCUCAUGACGCCAUCUCAGCUCAAAUGCUCCCAAGGAAAGUCAGAGAGCUUCCUUCACUCCCAUAAAGAAAGUGCUGAUAUUCUUGGAACUGCUACGGAAGCUGACUGCGUGCUGGCCUCAAAGCUUUGACAGCUUCCAGAGAAUCUUCAGAUCACACUCAACGAGCCACAGUGCAGUGAGACUGGAAGUCAACAGCAGAGUACCUUGACCAAUACACCAAUGUAACCAAAGAAGUGGAGAGGUCUGGAGAGAUAAUGCCAUGGUUGAGAGCACUAGCUGUUAUUCCAGAAGUCCUGAAUUCAAUUAGCACCCCCAUGGUGGCUCAUAACCAUCUAUAACUGUAGUCCUAUGGGAUUCGACACCCUCUUCUGAUAUGCAAAUGUACUUGCAGACAAAACAUCAAUAUGCAUUAAAUAUAUAAAGACUUUUUUAAAAAAGUAAAUAUUCAACCUUACUACUCAUUAAAAAUAAAACAAGAAAAAAUUCAAAAUUUCACCCAUAAAAGUUGUGAAGUGUUGCCUAGAGUUAAGAAGAGACCAAAAUUUAUGGUCAUGUGCUGGGGUGGAAGCAUUCUAGCUACUGUGGAGGACAGUUUGGUGUCUCUGGUGUUGCAAGAGCUCAUCCAUCGUCUGAACUCAGCUGCAGAAUCCCACUUGCAUGCCAAGAGGGUUGCUGCAACAGAGGAGAUGGGAACAACCUCCACAUCCACUGUGAAAGAAUGGAAAAGGAAAAUAUACUUAUGCAUGAUCCCGUGACCUUAAAAGGAAUGAGCUAACCCAUGCUCCUAAGUACACACACACACACACACACACACACACACACACACACACACACACACACAAAUGGAAAUGUAAAACCUCAAGAGAAAAGAUUGCAUGCAUCAGGGUUACCAUCUAUGCAAGGUUAGUGAUAUACAAGAAAAAAAAAAAAUGAGGUGUGUGUGGCAUCUCUCCAGUCCAGGGCUCAAGUUCCUAACGAUUUUAGUUGAUUUGUUACUGUUGUUUUUGAUUUUUGUUUGGUUUGGUUUGGUUUUAUUUUGUUUGACUUGGUUUGGUUUUGAGACAGGUUCUCUCUCUGUUUAGUCCUGCUGUCCUGGAACUUGCUCUGUAAACCAGAUCGGCAUCAAACUCAGAGAUCCACCUCUCUCUGCUCCCAAGCGCUAGUACUGAAAGGGUGUGUCCUCAGCUCUUACUAGGUCUUGAACUUUGCGUUAGACUUCGGAGUAGCUGGGAUUACAGGCACAGCCCCCCAGUCCAGCACUAAUCUCUGUUCCCCUUUUAAAUACGCUGCAUUAUGACUUUUUUGUUCUGGCACCAGAUACUUGCUGAGUCAUGCUCUUUGGGAGAUCUCGUAUUCCCAGAAUUAGCAUGUGCUACCAUCACUCCCUUUAAGCUCUUUGCUGACAAGCGGCUGUCCCCCGACACAGUGAAAUCUAAGAUGCAUUGUCUGCGUAUUAACUGCUGAGGACGUCUCUGCUUGCUCUGAUUCCCAGAAGUAGAACCGCAGGGUUGAAGAACACACAUACAUCUGGGUUCUUGGUGGACACAACUGAGAAUCCUGAAUAAAGACAGUCAUUUCCACUCCCUCUAAUGCCUGUCACUCCAGAUCUGGCUCUUGGCUGACUUUAGACCAGAACCUUAGGAAAAGUUGGGGAUGGCGGGGGCAUCAUCCCUUUCUAAGAUGUUAAGCUGACUGCUCCUGAGGAUUCUUUAGCUGUGGCAAUUUGUAUAACUGAAGUCUGGUAGGAGGGCCUGAGUGGCCAGGGCUCCCUCCACAUCUUCACUUCUGUCCAGUGGUGUUGGCUUUUUGCCUUGGAAACAAAACAGCUAGCCAGGCAAACUGUUCAAAAAAAAAAAAAAAAUCAGAACUAGGCCACGCAUUCCAGGUCAGUCCAGGCAACUUAGUGAGACUCUACCUCAAAAUAAAAAAAUAAAAAAUUAAUCUGGCAAGAUGACCCAGCAGGUAAAGGUGCUUUCUAAGAAGUCAAACAAUUCCUGGAACCCAUAUGGUGGAAGGAGAGAAACAACGCCUGCAAAUUGUCCUCUGACCUCCACAUCUGGGCCACUAGCACGUGCCCACACCCACACAUGCACGUACAAUGAAUUAAUGGAGUAGAACCCUCUGGAGCAACUGGGGCUAUAGAUGCCAUUUUAAUUGCAUCCUUUUAAAGCCAUGUAGCCCGUGUGGUCAAACCGAAAGGCUGCCCGGGUGUAAGGACCUGUCCUACCUGUUUGCUCUUCUCACCCUCAGUCUGGCCUGCUCUGGCAUCCUUGACUAUUUCUGACUGGCUUAUGGAAGGUAGUGAAAUUACCAGAGAAAUUAUUUCCAGAUAAGAUGCCAGGUGAUAAUGAUUUUACCAACAUCUCAGCCAACAUUGAUGAAAAGCAGAAUUCAGAGCAAGCUAAUCAAAGCCUCAGAUCACCCCCAAGGAGACUCUAACACUUCUCCUCCUAUCUACAGUUGGCCUUCUAUGAAGAGUCAGAGAAUGACUUGGGGGCUGCGAGACUACCUAGCCAGGCAGCUGGCGUCUCCAACCCUAUAUUACAAUAUCUGCAAAGAGGCGUGCUGAGACAGUGUGAUCAGCCCGUAUCCUGUGUUAACGCCUUCACACCCUGCCUUGUGCUCUCUCUUUUCUUGUGCUAAUUCUCUCAUCAGGAAUGGUCUUCACACUCACAGCUUUUAAAAUACACGGGACUGAGGAAUGGGCUCCUUGCCACACUCCUCAGUCUACAGCAGCCUCUAGGGGCCCUUUUGUCUGACUUCAAGUUGAUUCACUCCUCUGGGAACAGCAGACAAUUUAUUCCAAAUUUCCAAAUCAUUCCUGCUCCUUUUCUCUCCAGUGAUAUGUUGGAAAGCAGCCAGGGAUGGGGUGAGGCAGCAUGAGGGCUGAAUGCAUAGUUUGUCAAAGGUUAGGAGCCGGUGAGCAACAUUCUUUUAAUAUUUCAAAAGUCUUUACUCUUUGAGACCUAGCAACUUUUUUGAGGUGUGGCAGGGCAAGCAAGUACAGAGAUUUCAGGUUUAGCUAGAAUUUGAUCUCCUUGAUGGAGAAUCCCAUAGAAAAUUACCCAAUCCUAUUCUAGGAACUCAAGGUCAAGUUGCCCCAGCUAACUUAUCUUAGCUUCUGUUAAACUGCUCGAGUGUGCAGAAACCCCUUCUGCCAACCUCUUAUCUCAGCUUCCGUCAAAUUGCUUGCUUACGAGAAGCCCCCACCGCAGCUGCCAGGACUUGGUUUCUGCCUCCAAAAUCCGUAUGCUCUGGACACUUCGUAGUACACUUAGGACCCAAAUGCUUGAGUGUGGUCCCAGCUGGCUGGGAUAAAGACUUUGAAUUCACUUGCAAUUGCCGAGAGGGAGAGAGCAAUAUAAACGGCCUCCGAGCGGUCGACUCUGGUGGGCUGCCCAGAACAGAGGUAUGAACUGUGAUACGGUUGACAGCAUAAAGACGCAUGCCACUCUCAUCGUAAAACGGGUUCACUGCAGUGUGACUCCAGUCCUGAUGACGUGCUUCUAACACAUACGUGUGGCGGUCAUCUUCCCCAAGAUGGAAGUCAAACCGUGUUUUUCAUUCUCACUUACUUAGAACUCUCUUGCAAAUGGAUGAGAAAACCACAGCUGAAAAGAAAGUAUCAAGUUGACUCACUGAAGGUUUGAUUUUUUUUUUUCAUUUUCAUUCACUUUUGGCACUCCUCCUAGGAUUCAUCAAGAGCUUUAUAAGCAGACAGCAACUAGAGUGUUGGAGAUCAAACUCUAGACUUUAUACACACUAGACAAGCACGCUCCAGCAAGCCACAUGCUCAGCCCUGCAGAGAACUUCAUAGUCUUUAGGAGAGUCAACAGGAAAGGGAGCCUGCUGCCAAGCCUGAUGACCCAAGUUCAAGCCCCAGGGCCCACAUGGUAGGAAGAGAGAACUAGCUCCUGCUGAUGCCUCAGGCUGUCCUCUGACCUCCACAUAAGGACUGUGCGUGUGCCCAACCAACCCCCACCCCUACACACACACAUGCACACACAAUAAGUUAAUGUAAUAAAAAAAACUUUAAAAAAUAGUCUUUUUAGUCGUUGCUUGCAAUGGCUGAGAGGAAGAUUAGUAAGUAAAACCUAGAAGGAAAUUGUUGCAUGCUGAUGGAGUAUUUAGUAAGAGAUUGAGUGCAAGGAUACUGACUACUGUUUAGGUAAUAUAUGGUAUUGGAAGGGUAUUGGCACUCUAUUAAUCAGGAUAGGCUAAUCUAGGGUACACAACUAUUGGUCUAGGUUGUGCUGCAGAUAGAAGCCCUGUGGCCUGUGGCUUGUAUUAGUUUUCUGCCACUAUUACUCUUAAGUGCUAAGCCAUCUCUCCUAUUUUCUCUUCUCAAAAAAAAAAAAAAAAAAAAAAAAGGUGUGACCAUUAAUCUUUAUUGACAACUUGGUUGGAUUUAGAAUGACCCAGGGGCCAAUCAUCUGUGUUCUGUGCCCGAGCCCCAAAUGGUGAAGAGAACCCAGUCCUGCAGCGUGUCUUUUGACCUCCACUGGCAUGCCUGUUGCAUACUGUGUUGAUAAAUAAUAAAUAUGAAGAGAAUUUAGAAUUACCUGGGAGACAGGCCUCUGAGUGUAUCUGUGAGUUAUUUCCAGAGACGGAAACCUACCUGAGUGUAGGCGGCACCAUCCCACAGGAAAAGAGAAAAAUCAGUGGAUGUGGGCAUUCCCCUGCCUCCCACUUUGACAUUCGUUCUGUUCAUCUCUCCAGACCAUGAAGGCGAAGUCUGAAACCAUCUAAAACCUAAGCCAAAAGAAGUCCUUCCUUCCCAUCCAGUAGACUGUCCACUCCGACGCCCCUGGUUCACUAAUGUUCUGAGUGAUGCAGGUGGCGAGGGAAGAGGAGGGAGACAUGAGGAGGUGGGGGCUGGGUGGCAUGUUGCUGAAUUUGGAGCUCCUGCUAUAACCCCACCGGGGCCUUUCCUGACAGUUGUCUUACAUUUCCUCAUGGGCAGGCUGGGAAAAUCCGGGUUUCUUGUAUCAGUGGCUGCAGCAGAACAGGGCCAGCAUUAGCUAGGUCAUCUUAGAGCCAUUUGCUGUUGGGCAAUGUUGUUCCCUUUGAACCCUGUAACAGUUACUUUCCUCGUUGCUAUGACAACACACCACCUGACAACAUGUCAGGUGACAACAGCAACUUAAGGGUGAGGACUUUGUUUGGCUCACAGUUUGAAGGUUUAAUGGAUCCUACCUAAAGAAGUGUGAGGCCGCUGGUCACAUGACAUCUAUAAUCCGGAAGCACAGAGAGCAGAGGAGGCUGGGGGGGGGGGGAUAUGCUGGUGCUAAGUUUGCUUUUCUCUUUUUUAUUCAGUCCAGGACCUCCACACAUGGAAUGGUGCUAUUCACACUUAAGGUGGUUUUCUGGCCUCAACCCAGUCUAGAAACUUCCUCAGAGUCAUGCUCAGAGGCUAAUCCCCUAUGUGGUUCUAGGUUCCAUCGAAUUGACAAUGCUAACCGUCACAUGUGCUGUGAGUUAAUCUGUUCAGGGGACCUGUACAGGCUUCUGGGUGGGGUGUGGAGGGGGAAGAAGGGUAGUGUCCAGGAACAGGUAUGUGGGAAG